rnacentral:rRNA from 1 species
GAUGAACGCUGGCGGCGUGCCUAAUACAUGCAAGUCGAACGGGGUGCAGCAAUGUACUUAGUGGCGACCGGGUGCGUAACACGUAGCUGACCUGCCCUUCGACGGGGGACAACAGGACGAAAGUUCUGCUAAUACCGCAUAGCUUUGGGGGAUUUAGAAAGCCCCAAAGAAACUUACGGGGUCGAAGGAGGGGGCUGCGGCCCAUCAGGUAGUUGGGGAGGUAACGGCUCCCCAAGCCAACGACGGGUCGGGGGCCUGAGAGGGUGGCCCCCCACACUGGGACUGACACACGGCCCAGACUCCUACGGGAGGCAGCAGUAAGGGAUAUUGCGCAAUGGGCGAAAGCCUGACGCAGCAACGCCGCGUGCAGGAUGAAGGCCUUCGGGUCGUAAACUGCUUUGGCGCGGGACGAGGACGGACGGUACCGCGCGAACAAGUCACGGCUAACUACGUGC